UUUUCAGAUCCUGCAGCGUCAGGAACUCAUUGUCCCUUUCCUGUUAUUUCAACAAUGGAGCAGAGGAAGAAGCGGUGCCCAACAGCGCUGAUCUCAUCACAGACCCCAAAUGUCCCGGGGGCGGGUCUUGCUGAGGAUCCUACACAGCCUGUGCCCCUCCCACAAUGAGGGAAUUAAAGUUGGUGUAAUUGGAGGUGCGACUGGCCCCCCACAUUAGACUGCCCUGUUGGUGUCGCCCCAGAAUGCGCCAGUUGCUGUCCUGUUGAGAAGCGCAUUUGAAUGUAAAGUGGACGGGUUGGGAGCAGUGGAAGCCAUCUUGAAACAUUGCUCCAAACAGGAGGAAUAGCCUGGAAUGUCUCGCGUUACUUGUACAGAUGCUGAAGAAAGGGGGGCGGCCGGCUGCUCUUUAAUGAUUGGAUGGGAGCAAGAAUGAAAUGUUACUGCCGACCCCCCUGAAUCUCCUGACUGUCAGCCCCACAUCACUAGAGAGGUUACGGCAGCAAUGAGCAGCGGCAUCUGUAGUGAGGAGCUGGGACAAUACUUCUACCCUGAACGCCCUAAAAUGCCCCAACUCUGCCAACCUAGUCGUCUUCACGUCAGUUGGACCUACCGGCGCCAUCGUGGAUGAGACAAUUGGCCAAUCCAGAAACAGAACAAGCGGUGAUUGAGGAGGAGUUAGAUGAUGAUGAUGAUGAUGAAGAUGAUGAUGCUGGUGUUGAGGAAGAGGUGAGACAAUGAAUGUCAGAAGAAGCCAAGGCAAUGUCAUUCUAUUUGUGUCUCUGUAUCUGACUUUUUUUUUCUAAUUUUCUGAUCUUUGAAGUGAAGACCCAGACACUGGAAGUAACAAAAGAAAAUGAUUUACAUAAGUAAAUGUAAUCCACACUCUGGGCUAAUUGGUGCCCUAUCCCUUCCCUCCUGCUGUCUCUUCCCUAUACCUUGUGCCCUCCUCUUUUCUACAUUGUUCCCCCAUUCUCCUGCCAUUGUUUUCCAUUCGCUCUCCUGUGCUGUAUAAGCUCUGUCCUGUUGUGUCGCGUCCCAACGUGACCUUCGAUCAGGCUGCUGAUGCUUUUGACUUCACCGACUUUGUAUAAAACACGCCGAGUGUUUCUUCCCACAGUCCUGCGCCCUCAUUGGUCAACUAGACUGUCUGUGUAAAUGAGGAAGAUGUUUACACUAAUUACAUGGGAGGUCUAUAAGCCCUAUAUAUGUAUGUUAUAUAGAUACAAGUGCUCACCCUUGGCUACAGGCAGUUGGCCCUGGCACUUUCAGCUUGUGUGGCCCCUACAUACAGAAUGAGCCCUGGGAAUCCUGUAUUCUAGUUCCAAGGCCUUGGAUUGGAGAUUCUGCCAAAUCAGAUGGAGAAUGUCCUGGAUUCUGUGAAUCUCAUAACAGUAUUUGCUUUGUUUGUGUGAAAUGAGUCUGGAUUUCACCUGUUAAAUAAAAAUAUUUAAAUU